AUGUAAAGUGAUGACAAAUGAUGAGAAAUGGUAUAAAACAGUGAUGAUAUGAUGCUAAAGUGAUGACAAAUGGAUGCUCAAAACAUGCAAAAUACACACUUAUCAGUAACUCCUAAAUUCUAUCAAGCGAGUAAGGUCUGGUGGUACUAUCUUCGG
rnacentral:sRNA from 1 species